ACUUAAUGUGUAGUGUUUGAUUGUGUGAUUUGUCAUGCCGUGACUUGCAUGUUUUCAGCUGCUCAUGCAUCAUUUGUGUUGCGCAUCGUGCGGUGAAUUUUGUGUGAUGAUUUGUGUUUCCGGUUUGCUUCGCCUCGAUAGAGCUCCGCACGCGUGCCGGAUUGUGAGGACCCGUUCGACUGCGUCGGUUCGUCUGCUUCACGAAGGCAUACUUCUUCCAAGCGGGAUCUCAG
rnacentral:lncRNA from 1 species